CACACUCAUCACAGAAUCGAUGACUAGCUAGCUACAAGAUGGUGUCCAGGUUCAAUGCACUCGAUCACUGUCGUCGUUCAAAGUUUAGAGACCCAAAUGAUGACUAGUUUCAAAACAGAGAAGAUGCUUGGAAAGGGCAUGUUGAUUGAGAUGGAGAUGGAGAUACUGAGGGUAUACGCAUCUUUGGAGAAGCAUCAUUCACAGAGGCGGGAUGAUGGCGAUGCGGCGGGCGCUUUUCCUCCUCUUCCUCAUACCGUAGGAGGAGAAGAGGUCGUCGUCGUCGUCCUCGCAUGGAGUUCCCUCAUUCGGACUUCUUGGCUCUCUAGUUUGUCGUUGUUCGUUCGAUCAGCUUGAUAAUGUAUGUUUUGCUCCGAUGACCUCUGGAAAUGCAUGCUUG